CCCAUUCUGUAAGGAAGUAAGACCCCUUGAAGACGACGAGGUAGAUAGGGCAGAGGUGGAAGUACGGUAACGUAUGGAGCUGACUGUUACUAAUCGGUCGAGGGCUUAACCAG
rnacentral:rRNA from 1 species